rnacentral:rRNA from 1 species
GGGACCCGAGUGCGAGGGCAUACAGUCCUCGCUUUUCCCACCGUAAGGUGGUGGAGGAACAAGAGCUGGGCAAGACCGGUGCCAGCCGCCGCGGUAAUACCGGCAGCUCGAGUGAUGGCCGAUCUUAUUGGGCCUAAAGCGUCCGUAGCCGGCCACACAAGUUCGUCGGGAAAUCUGCCCGCUUAACUGGCAGGCGUCCGGCGAAAACUGUGUGGCUUGGGACCGGAAGACCCAACGAGUACGUCUUGGGUAGGAGUGAAAUCCCGUAAUCCUGGACGGACCACCGAUGGCGAAAGCACCUUGGGAAGACGGAUCCGACGGUGAGGGACGAAAGCUAGGGUCUCGAACCGGAUUAGAUACCCGGGUAGUCCUAGCCGUAAACGAUGCCCGCUAGGUGUGGCUCACGCUACGAGUGGGUGCUGUGCCGUAGGGAAGCCGCUAAGCAGACCGCCUGGAAAGUACGUCGGCAAGGAUAAAACUUAAAGGAAUUGGCGGGGGAGCACUACAACCGGAGGAGCCUGCGGUUUAAUUGGACUCAACGCCGGACAUCUCACCAGCAUCGACGACAGCAAUGAAGGUCAGGUUGAUGACCUUGUCAGAGCUCCUGAGAAGAG